rnacentral:rRNA from 1 species
UACCAGCACCCCGAGUGGUUGGGACGAUUAUUGGGCCUAAAGCAUCCGUAGCCGGUCCUACAAGUCUUCCGUUAAAUCCACCUGCUUAACAGAUGGGCUGCGGAAGAUACUAUAGGGCUAGGAGGCGGGAGAGGCAAGCGGUACUCAGUGGGUAGGGGUAAAAUCCUCUGAUCCAUUGAAGACCACCAGUGGCGAAGGCGGCUUGCCAGAACGCGCUCGACGGUGAGGGAUGAAAGCUGGGGGAGCAAACAGG